GCGCACCAGUCGAGAAACCUCCGCAAUGCGGGAAACCGCGACGGGGGACCCCGAGUGCCGUGGCAACGCCACGGCUUUUCCGGAGUGUAAAAAGCUCCGGGAAUAAGGGCUGGGCAAGGCCGGUGGCAGCCGCCGCGGUAAUACCGGCGGCCCGAGUGGUGGCCGCUAUUAUUGGGCCUAAAGCGUCCGUAGCCGGGCCCGUAAGUCCCUGGCGAAAUCCCACGGCUCAACCGUGGGGCUUGCUGGGGAUACUGCGGGUCUUGGGACCGGGAGAGGCGGGGGGUACCCCUGGGGUAGGGGUGGAAAGUCCGUAUAAUCCCCAGGGGGGACCGCCAGUGGCGAAGGCGCCCCGCUGGAACGGGUCCGACGGUGAGGGACGAAGGCCAGGGGAGC
rnacentral:rRNA from 1 species